AUGGAUGACGAUGCUAACUUAGCUGCCAAGCAAGACAUCUCCCGGCCACCACCACCACCAGCCCGAUCGAAACUUGCAGCGCCAUGGGCGCGCGCGGGUGCCCCGCAUGCAUCUCGUAUACGAGCGACCGCGCUGCGCAUGGGGUACGCCGACGCACGUGGGCGCGCGUGCCCCUGCGGUACGCACGCAGUCACGCACCGUCGCACGGGGCCCCCGGCCGGCGGAGUGGACAGACGUAAGCGGCGCGCACGGUGGCCACGUCGAGCCAGAGUACGCACGCAGCAUGGUGUUCCUACUGCAGGCAGGAGCGUGGUACUCUACGUACGUGCUUGCUGCAAGGGGGCUUGA
rnacentral:rRNA from 1 species